rnacentral:rRNA from 1 species
GCUGGCGGCAGGCUUAACACAUGCAAGUCGAGCGCCCCGCAAGGGGAGCGGCAGACGGGUGAGUAACGCGUGGGAAUCUACCGUACCCUACGGAAUAACGCAUGGAAACGUGUGCUAAUACCGUAUACGCCCUAUGGGGGAAAGAUUUAUCGGGUAUGAUGAGCCCGCGUUGGAUUUAGCUAGUUGGUGGGGUUAAGGCCUACCAAGGCGACGAUCCAUAGGUGGUCUGAGAGGAUGAUCAGCCACAUUGGGACUGAGACACGGCCCAAACUCCUACGGGAGGCAGCAGU